AAAGCACAGGUAAACGGGUAGCAGUUUCAUACAGGAAGCAUACAUGAGAUGGACGGCAGACCCGCCCUAGGUAAAGUGGAGGAUCUCGCCACUUUGGCGAAACUCGACGAUAAAGUUCUUCUUGAGGAAUUAAGAGCAAGAUACAGAAACAAUGACAUAUACACUUAUGUUGGAGAUAUAUUGAUAGCUGUCAAUCCUUUCCGGGAGAUUCCAGGGCUGUAUGAAGAUGCUGAAAGUCAGCGAUAUUUCCUGGAGCAAAAGAGCUCUAACCCACCACACAUAUUUGCUGUUGCUGACACGACAUACCAGAACAUUAUUGGCUAUGGAGGACGAGUUCCACAAAACCAGUGUGUACUCAUCAGUGGGGAAAGUGGGGCUGGCAAGACAGAAAGUACCAAACUCAUCAUCAAACAGCUGAUCGAGCUUUGUAGGGGAAACACACAACUGGAACAACAAAUAUUACAGGUUAAUCCUCUCCUGGAAUCCUUUGGAAAUGCACAAACUUUGAUGAAUGACAACUCAAGUCGUUUUGGGAAAUACAUACAACUAGUGUUUAAAGACGGCCAUGUGAUGGGGGCGAAGAUAUCUGAAUACUUACUGGAGAAGUCCAGAGUUGUCAGUCAAGGCAAGAAUGAGGAGAACUUCCACAUCUUUUACUACAUGUUUGCUGGCUUGUCCAAUGAGUUCAAAGCAGCACAUUAUCUCCAGUCAGCAGAUAAAUUCAGAUACCUGACUAAUGGUGCAUGUUCCCUGAGUAGAGACCCUUCCCUGAUGAAGAGUCGUUAUGAGGACCUCGUCAAUGCGAUGGAUAUGGUGGGGUUUACGGAUGAGGACCAGAUGAGCACAUUCAACAUGUUAGCUAGUGUUCUACACCUGGGUAACGUCACAUUUGGCAUGGAUGAUAAUGACGCUGCAUUCAUAGAGGACGAAAAUGGAGCAGUCAAAGUUGCAUCUAAACUUCUGGGUAUCAGUACUCAGGAAGUGGUAGGUACUCUCACAGCGAUGGUGACCUUCACCCGCGGAGAACAGGUGAAGCGUAACUACACUGCUGAACGAGCUAGAGAUGCCUGUGAUGCCAUGGCCAAGGCUAUCUAUGGGCGUCUAUUUGGAUGGAUCGUUAACAAGGUUAACCAGUUACUGGCCCCUCCACUGAUGCAUGCAGAACAGAGAGAGAUUGGUAUAUUGGACAUCUUUGGCUUUGAACAUUUCGAGAAGAACAGCUUUGAGCAGGCAUGCAUCAACCUGGCCAAUGAGCAGCUCCAGUUUUUCUUUAAUCAGCAUGUCUUCAAGCUGGAACAAGACGAGUACACAAAGGAGGGUAUUGAUUGGACAGAGAUCAAAUUUGUGGACAAUCAGCCACUUUUGAAUUUGUUCCUGAACAAACCCAUUGGGAUCUUAUCCUUGCUGGAUGAAGAGAGCAACUUCCCAAAGGGAUCAGAUCACACCUUUGUUGACAAACUGAAUAUACAUUUUCAUGGGAAUGACUACUAUGAAAAAUCACAACAAAGUACAUCUGGCAAAUUCACAAUCCACCAUUAUGCUGGCAAGGUGGCCUAUGAUUCAUCCUUCUGGCUGGAAAAAAAUCGAGAUACUCUUCCGCCAGGUGUCAUGGAGAUAUUCCAAGGCAGUACAGAUGAACUUGUCAAGCUUAUGUUCAGAGGUCAGGUGACAAGAACUGGAAGUCUGUCUCUUCAAGCCAGGAAGUCUAUGAGCAGGAGGACACGCAGAAGCAAGAAACCCUCAAUGGAUGGACGCAAAAGGAAACUGACUGUUGGAGGGCAGUUCAAGAACUCCUUACAAAUAUUGAUGGAGAGAAUGAUGUCUUCCUCACCAGUGUUUGUGCGAUGUUUGAAACCAAAUCAUGUCAAGGUUCCUGGGAAGUUUGACGAAACUUACAUCAGAAAUCAGUUAUUAUAUACUGGCAUGUUGGAGACAAUCAAGAUUAGAAGAGAAGGUUUUGCCGUGCGACCAUCCUUCCCAGAAUUUGUGGAAAAGUACAAGAUCAUCCUGUGUAAACCAAGCCUGGAAGGUAACAAACAAAACUGUGUCCAGAUCCUCAAGGCCAGUAAAAUCACUGGCUGGCAAGUCGGGAAAACUAAAGUGUUUAUGAAGUACUAUCACCUUGAACAGUUGUCAGAAAUCUUCAAAGUUAUGGGAAAGUCUGCUGUUCACUUUCAGAAAGUUGUGAGAGGGUUCCUGGCCAGACAGCGAGUCAAGGUACUGAGGCUGGAAGCUCAGAAGCAGACACAGCGUGUGUACAACUUCCUCAGCCAGAUAAAUAAUCUGUCUAUAGAAUUCAACAAUCACCAGCACAGUGCCAGAGUCCAUGACAAAUCAAUUCCUCCUGCAUACUUCACAGGAGGAGAUUAUGCAUUACCUCCCCCUCCUGUUCCUACAUUUGAUGGCGUAGCAACUCCUCCAGGCUCGGGGAACAAAUAUAUGGAACCUGUAGGUCCCACUUCUCGUUCAUUUGGGACUCAGGCUGAAAACUCUGAUUCAGAUCAGUUCUCAGAUGAUGAGUUCAAGCCAAUAUCGUCAACACAAUUUGGUACACCUGGGACACGCCAGGCAACGGUCAAAUGGUUCAAGGAGACACAAGCUCAACAGGUGUAUGAUCCGGCCGUCAGUAGCUUCAUUGCUGAAUGGUUCCACGGUGUUAUCAGUCGGAGGAGUUCUGAGGUCCUUCUUGGCUCCAAGCCCAUUGGCUGUUUUCUCAUCAGAGUCAGUGAAAGUCGAUUUGGAUACUCCUUAUCAUUCAGAGCUGAGGGCAGAGUUAGACAUUAUAUGAUCGACCAACUCCCCAAUAAAAAGUUUGUUAUUGUUGGUGAGAAAAAGGUACAUCGAACAUUGAAGGACCUGGUAGACUACUACAGCACGAAUCAUCUUUCUAACUGGGAUGGAUAUUUGUCUGAAUCCUGUGGACAGGAGGACGGAAACUGUGAUUAUCAGGAACUAAUCGCUGACAACUAUUACUUUAAACUCGAACAAGAGGCGCCAUCUCAUAGGCCGAAUUCUUCAGGCCCUAGAAGACAACAGGCUAGUAGAAUACGAGCAAGCCGUACUCCAGUUGGUGCCCCUCAGAGAGACCCCACAGUGUCAGGGCCUCCUAUUCCUGACCGGAACUACACCAUACCAAAAAAUACCAAUGUCAAGAUACGGUCAUCUGCAGCGAUGAGUGGAAGACCACUCCCCCAACGUCCCGACGAAGCCCACAAGAGACUUCUCCAAAAUCAGAACACAGACCAGUAGUGACGGUGUCCUUAUCAGCGAGGAAACUAGUUCAUCGAUCAUAAUUUAGCUGAACUACAGAGGACCAAAUACGACUAUUGAUGGUAAUGCUGAUGCUGGGACUUGGUGCUUGAUUAGAUUGUAUCGUACGUAACAGUCGUUCUACAACGGGUGAUACACUAGUGGUCUGUGACUGUAUGUACGUCUUACUCACGUCGUAUGUGAUUCGGUGACUUUCUCCAGUUUUGUUAUAUAAUAUUUUCACUUUGCAUAUUAGUUUACAUUUGUGUAACCAAAGAUUGUGCAUACACAUAUUUAGUUAUGUAACGCAUUGAAAAUAUACCUUCACCGACAAUUCUUCUCUUCUUGAAGUCAUAUUCAUCAACAACAACAACGCUCAGAAUGGAUCCCAGGAGAUCAAAUGAGUUUGACAAGGGCCAAUAGUCAGUUACCAUGCUGGGACGAAUGGAAAAUAAUGAACAAACAUUGAUAUGCUUUUAAGGUCACAGUGUUGUGAUCAGUUGAAUGUCAAAUUUCAGUUUAAAAACAAAACUUUUAUCAGUACAUCCCAGAACUCAGGUGAUCGAUAACGAUCUUGGGUCUCUUGUUGGACAAUUUAGAAUUCAGUUUUUAGGGGAUGAAUGUAAAAUUUAUUAUCAACUAAAGAAUAUUUUGAACAAAAACAAUGAAUUAGUGAUGCAUUUAUUUCAAUGUAAACGAAAGCAGAUAAAAUAAUAUAAACCCCUUACGGCCACACUGUACAUACUUGACGGUUCCUAUUUCCAGUAGAUGUAAGUUCCUUCCCAGAUUAAAUGAAAUCCGUAGCCUUUCAUCCUUUCACAGUACACUACUUGUCAUGCUGUCAUUGGGUUCACGUGUAUUUGUACCUGUUAUAAGUCAUAUAUCCUGAUGAUAAAUUUGUUUCUGUUUGUAUUUUCUAACUUAAUAUACCCUUUACCUACUAAUUUUCGCGCCUAUGAAACUUUGCGUUUCCACCAAAUACGAUAAGUUUGCGGCUAUUGAUUCGUUUUCAUUUUCUGUUAAAAUUUGUUGUUUCAGACUUCAGACAGAAAAAAACAAGUUAUCGCUAUUAUUUUCUGCGGAUUUAAGUUGCCGCCGUCAUUUUUUGCGAGCAACGCAAAAUUAAUUGUGCGUUAACAUUAGUAGGUUUAAAUCAUUUCAUCUUAAGGUAAUAUAUGUUGUAUGGAUUUAUUAUUCUAUUAAUAUCACGUAUUGCUAAUUACAACAGCUCAUCACUGCUGUGAUAAAGUUAUUCAAAUCAAAAUGAUUAUAAUCCGACACAGCAUAUUUUUUACACGCCUUUGUAACCAUUUUGUUGUAAUGACGCUUGUAUUAUAUUAAGAUUUCCUACAGUGAGCAUGUGGCACUGGGGCCGAUAAGAAAAUACGGAAAGAGGAAGCCGCGAGUGAUAGGCAAUGACCUUAAACUGGAGUAAGUUGAAGGCAAGAGAUAAAAAUCGGCAUAAUCUGUAUUUUCAUGUUAUAUGAUUUUUUUCCUUAAAAGUUUAUUUGUUUGUAAGUAGUUAAAUGCUCGUAAUUAAUUUAGACACUUCUACUAUCGAAAUCAGAUUUUGAGUUUAAUUUUAAAUAAUCAGAUACAGUGAUUCUGAAAUAGUAUUGUUACCUCGGGAAGUGGAAACUGUUUAUUACAUUGUUUCGGAUGAAUUGUGUUUCGCUGAAAUUUAUUUCUGAUAUAAACCAAAAGCAUUUUUUUCCAUAGCAUUUUUGAAUGCUUCUAACGAGAUCGCUGUACGUUGUUAUCAUUCCAACGGAUUAUUGUAUCAUCAUGACAACAAGGGCCUUAUCCAGUGCAAUGACAUUAAUAUUAUUUUUGUUAUCGAUCUAUGCUGAUUUUUUAAAAGAACUAUUGUUAUAUUAAUGCAAUGGUUUGAACACAUGCUCAAAGUAUUCCACUCGAUGCAUAAUAACAUUAAGUCGUUUACUACUUAGCUUACUCCUCUAACGGAGUAUGGAUUUAUAUUAACUAGUGUACAGAUUGUAUUUUGCUUGUAAACGCGAAAAGUAGAUGCAAUAAAUGAAUGAGAUUUGCGGAGUUACAUUUAUUGAAUGAGAAAAGUAAGAGUUGUAUGUAAUUGUUCAGGAGAAAUAACAACAGUAUAAAUGUUGUGUACACUGUCGUUAAGUUGAUAUCUGUAACUCUAGCAACGAAUAUCACACAAUAUCCGCCGUCAUUCUGCUUCUGUUUAGUAUCUAGGAUAUAUUUAUCAAAGAUAUAAAACCAACAAUAAGAACCAUCUAACUGUAAUAAUUUUGCAGUGGAGCAUAUUUCAUGCUGGAUUUAAGAUAAUAUUUUUUACAGUGGAUUUAUGUUAAUAUUUCUGAAGUUUUAAUUUACUACACACGUUUUAUGCUGCACAAACUGCAAAGAAUGAAUUUUAUAAUUUGCAUGAACAGUUUUAAGUGUACAUAAACAACGAAGUAUGAAAUUUACUUUAUUCAUGAAAACGAAUACUAUAUAGAUGAACAACGAAGUAUAAAAUUACUAUAUGUAUAGACAGCCAAGUAGAAAUUUACUUAUCUGUAAAUAAUAAAACGCACUUUUACUAUCUGCAUAUGAUGCUGCGUAUGAAAAAGGAUGGUUACGGUAGGUCAAUUAAAUGGAACUCAUAGUGACAGUGACCUACUUUUUGAUACCAAAACUGCAGUUAAACUUAUCAAAUUAACGUUGAUGAUUUAAGUAUGAAUGCCGUGGCAUAUGCAUUGCACAUUGAUUUGUACCACUUGACAACGCAUUUUAUAUAUUGUUUAUUCAAUAGUCGAAUUAAUAUAUAUUUGUUGUAUUUUUAUUGUUAACAAUGAUGAGGCCUACUUUUUGGACCAAUGUCUUGUACUUAGCACUGCAUGUAACAAACAAUGGAAACUGACACAUGUAUAUCACUGUCAUAAAACUAUAACCUGAAUAUAGACUUAAUGUAACAUGAUGGAUGGUCAAUAGACUCCCAUUAGUUUAUGUGAAAGUCGGUAAUUGAAAUCCCAAAAUAUAUACACGUAUCAUCUUGGGGAAUAUGUUUUUCAUUACUCACUCCUGUAAUAUAUAUGUGCGAGAUUUGGCAAGUGAUACGACAAUAUGAAUAUUUACAUUAUAUUGUAUCUUCAUAAUUACCUUUAUUAAUGACAUUAAAUGGAAACUACAGAGUACUUACUCACGUUUAUUGCAUUCUUUGUUGUGGCAUUGUUCAUAUAUUGAAAUCCAUGAAAGUUGUUAGUACGCAGUGCCAAAAUGAAAAAUUCAAAAACAAAAUGACGCGUACACAAAUGUAACUACUGCUUUUGAAGGUAUUAAAUCAAAGUGUUUAAAUUGCCCUUAGUAUAAAAGUACUUUACUAUACUGAUUUGAUAUAUUUUUAUGUACUAGUAUUGUAUACGUAUACAUAUAUAUCUUGUUUAAAUAUUGAAAUGGCAUAAUAAAAGAAAAUAUUUUA